rnacentral:rRNA from 1 species
CCUACGGGUGGCAGCAGUAGGGAAUCUUCCACAAUGGGCGAAAGCCUGACGGAGCAACGCCGCGUGGGUGAAGAAGGUCUUCGGAUCGUAAAACCCUGUUGUUAGAGAAGAAAGUGCGUGAGAGUAACUGUUCACGUUUCGACGGUAUCUAACCAGAAAGCCACGGCUAACUACGUGCCAGCAGCCGCGGUAAUACGUAGGGGGCAAGCGUUAUCCGGAUUUAUUGGGCGUAAAGGGAACGCAGGCGGUCUUUUAAGUCUGAUGGGAAAGCCUUCGGCUUAACCGGAGUAGUGCAUUGGAAACUGGGAGACUUGAGUGCAGGAGAGGAGAGUGGAACUCCAGGUGUAGGGGUGAAAUGCGUAGAUAUAUGGAAGAACACCAGUGGCGAAAGCGGCUCUCUGGUCUGUAACUGACGCUGAGGUUCGAAAGCGUGGGUAGCAAACAGGAUUAGAUACCCGUGUAGUC